GAAUCAGACUAUAGAAAGGAUCAUUUUGCAAGUAAUACCGUUUUGAUCAUACAUGAAUGACGUUAAAAGUUAUUUACGUUUGCAUAAGCUUUGCAGGUUAGUUUGUUUUAGGCAAAGGAUGUUAGCUAGCUUACUUCAGUAAAGUUUCCUUGAAUGUCUUGCUGGAGGAGGUUGAUGUCCUUUCCAUAGUAAUUUGCGGCGGCUAUUCGACUUGUUCCAGAACCAGCGCAACUCCACAGUGUUUCCACCUCCGUCGCUUGUGAACCCAACAUGCAUUGGCUAACAAAGGCGAAACCACAAUAAUCGACAAUAACAGUGAAACCAAAAUUCAUGCAGGCUCGGUCUGGUGUGUCAAUGAAGUGAAGAGGGCUUGUCCAUCGGUACCUAUACCAGUGUCUUACUUGGUCUGGCCAAACACACAGCACCGACAAAUCGCCAUUCACGUAGUCUGGAAGCAGC